rnacentral:rRNA from 1 species
UAGGGAAUCUUCGGCAAUGGGGGGAACCCUGACCGAGCAACGCCGCGUGAGUGAAGAAGGUUUUCGGAUCGUAAAGCUCUGUUGUUAAGGAAGAACGAGUGUGAGAAUGGAAAGUUCAUGCUGUGACGGUACUUAACCAGAAAGGGACGGCUAACUACGUGCCAGCAGCCGCGGUAAUACGUAGGUCCCGAGCGUUGUCCGGAUUUAUUGGGCGUAAAGCGAGCGCAGGCGGUUAGAAAAGUCUGAAGUGACAGGCAGUGGCUCAACCAUUGUAGGCUUUGGAAACUGUUUAACUUGAGUGCAGAAGGGGAGAGUGGAAUUCCAUGUGUAGCGGUGAAAUGCGUAGAUAUAUGGAGGAACACCGGUGGCGAAAGCGGCUCUCUGGUCUGUAACUGACGCUGAGGCUCGAAAGCGUGGGGAGCGAACAGG